rnacentral:lncRNA from 1 species
CACACACACACACACACACACACACACACACACACACACACACACAGUGGGGGAGGAUAUACCAUAUUCCACUAUAGCAUUAAGGCUGGAUGAAGACAUGACAAGUCCCCAAAACUAGAGCUGUGGGUGAUAAGUUAAAGUGGUAAAGAAAUAGGUUGAGUCUCUACAGUUCAGCUAUGAGGGAACCGUAGGCACUUGCUUGGAGGAAAACCUGCUAACAUCCGGACAGUUGCACCCUCAUCCAGAAAGGACAACAACAGCGAAAAGCCUUGACAAGGAAUUAUGAACUUGGAACUCUUCCCAUCAACUGAGCUGGCUCGGCUUCUUGCAACAUCUCUGCCCCAAAGGGGCGACAGUGAGGAAAGAGGAAUUGCUUCCAUCCAAAGCUCUGCUUCUUAGUCCCACUGGAGUCAUCACAGCUCCUGCUUCUCUCCCUUCCCGCCUCUGUUCAUGCACGUCCACUUCUUGUAGUCUGGAAGUGACAAGUGAUGAAUCAAGGCGUCUCCAGUAUCCAGCCUGCACUGGGAAAUGGCAAAAAUGUGACUCAACCUCACAUCUUCUGAGAACUGUGUGCGCGAUGCCCCCAGUCAGAGGGGCGCUGGAGGACUAAAUGAAAUCAUCGCCUUUUCCCGUUUCCCAGACUCCCCAGCUGCGGAGGGGACAACUCUGACAUUUGGCACAGAGGAAGUGAGGAUAAAAAUAAUGCCCCUCAUAAAGAAAGCUAGGCAGGAGCUUCACAGAGUUCAAAGUCCCCCUGACUAAAGACCAGAUUCCAGAAGCCUCCAGAGGCUGACCCACAUCUCCUGGUCCAUAGUCCCCUGAGCCCAUGAUCAAACCCAGCAUGUCUGAUUUCUCCGGCUAUUCCUCUGUAGUUGUUUCUUGCUCUGGCUUCAGCCAAGAAAGUCCUCUGUUUUCACUUCCGCUUGGAUGGUCCUCAGUCUCUUCAACCCGGGAUCCUCAGCUAUUAGCAACCUGCAAUAUCUCUUCGCCAGGCAAGGGGGCAUCGUCAUGGGGUAAAAUGGUUGUUUGGGACAUUUUUGACUGUCCGUUAUGAGAAUUCUUAGGGUCAAACAAAGCAAUAUAGGGCUGAUGCGAUGCC